rnacentral:rRNA from 1 species
AGGGGAUCGCAAGACCUUGCGCUUUUGGAGCGGCCGAUGUCUGAUUAGCUAGUUGGUGAGGUAAAGGCUUACCAAGGCUUCGAUCAGUAGCUGGUCUGAGAGGACGACCAGCCACACUGGGACUGAGACACGGCCCAGACUCCUACGGGAGGCAGCAGUGGGGAAUUUUGGACAAUGGGGGCAACCCUGAUCCAGCCAUGCCGCGUGAGUGAAGAAGGCCUUCGGGUUGUAAAGCUCUUUCAGCCGGAACGAAAAGGUUACGGUUAAUAACCGUGACAAAUGACGGUACCGGAAGAAGAAGCACCGGCUAACUACGUGCCAGCAGCCGCGGUAAUACGUAGGGUGCGAGCGUUAAUCGGAAUUACUGGGCGUAAAGCGUGCGCAGGCGGUUUUGUAAGUCAGAUGUGAAAUCCCCGGGCUUAACCUGGGAACUGCGUUUGAAACUACA